rnacentral:lncRNA from 1 species
ACACUCUUGAUUAAGACAGUGUGAAGCAAAACCAAUUUAUGGUGCCAACAAGAGCUCCAUCAAAGGAGUUCAACCAUAAUUCUCAAAAGCUUCACACACUCUUGAUCAAGACAGUGUGAAGUAAAACCAAUUUAUGGUGCCAACAAGAGCUUCAUCAAUGGAGGGCAACCACAAUUCUCAAAAGCUUUACACACUCUUGAUCAAAACAGUGUGAAGCAAAACCAAUUUAUGGUGCCAACAACCAGAGCUUAAUCAAUGGAGGGCAACCACAAUUCUCAAAAA